rnacentral:rRNA from 1 species
UACGUAGGGGGCGAGCGUUAUCCGGAUUUACUGGGUGUAAAGGGUGCGUCGGCGGCUUGGUAAGUCAGAAGUGAAAGGUUGGGGCUCAACCCCAGAACUGCUUCUGAAACUGCUGAGCUAGAGUGUGGGAGAGGAAAGUGGAAUUCCGAGUGUAGCGGUGAAAUGCGUAGAGAUUCGGAGGAACACCAGUAGCGAAGGCGACUUUCUGGACCAUAACUGACGCUGAGGCACGAAAGCGUGGGGAGCAAACAGG